AAAUUGAAGAGUUUGAUCAUGGCUCAGAUUGAACGCUGGCGGCAGGCCUAACACAUGCAAGUCGAACGGUAACAGGAAGCAGCUUGCUGCUUUGCUGACGAGUGGCGGACGGGUGAGUAAUGUCUGGGAAACUGCCUGAUGGAGGGGGAUAACUACUGGAAACGGUGGCUAAUACCGCAUAACGUCGCAAGACCAAAGAGGGGGACCUUCGGGCCUCUUGCCAUCAGAUGUGCCCAGAUGGGAUUAGCUUGUUGGUGAGGUAACGGCUCACCAAGGCGACGAUCCCUAGCUGGUCUGAGAGGAUGACCAGCCACACUGGAACUGAGACACGGUCCAGACUCCUACGGGAGGCAGCAGUGGGGAAUAUUGCACAAUGGGCGCAAGCCUGAUGCAGCCAUGCCGCGUGUAUGAAGAAGGCCUUCGGGUUGUAAAGUACUUUCAGCGGGGAGGAAGGUGUUGCGGUUAAUAACCGCAGCAAUUGACGUUACCCGCAGAAGAAGCACCGGCUAACUCCGUGCCAGCAGCCGCGGUAAUACGGAGGGUGCAAGCGUUAAUCGGAAUUACUGGGCGUAAAGCGCACGCAGGCGGUCUGUCA
rnacentral:rRNA from 1 species